AUGAUCAUUAUAAAAAAAUUUAGUAUAGAAAACUCUCUUAUAAAAUCAUCUUUUUCAUUUUUCCUUCCCAACUUUCAAAAAUCUAUAUUUUACCCUUUCAACAUUUCAAGUUGUUGUAUUUAACUCCCCUCUAUCAAGGUUCCAUUAGUAUCCUGUUCAUUUUUUAUAAUUUAUACUGAAUUUCUUUUCAAAAUAACAGAAAUAUAUUAAAAAAUAUUUUAUAGAAGAAGUAAAGGCUGUUUGGUUAUUUCACCCUCUCCAUUAAUAACGUAUCUCCCUGAAAAUAUUUUUGAAAUUUUAAAGGAGCAAAAGACAGAUUUUUGAAAGUCGAUAAGGAAAAGUGAAAAUCAGGUAUUUAUAAGGAGAUUGUUUAUAUUUU
rnacentral:lncRNA from 1 species